rnacentral:rRNA from 1 species
UAGUCCACGCCGUAAACGAUGGUCACUAGUUGUUGGGGUCUUGUACCUCAGUGAUUAAGAGAAAUUGAUAAGUGACCCACCUGGGGAGUACGAUCGCAAGAUUGAAACUCAAAGGAAUUGACGGGGCCCGCACAAGCGGUGGAGCAUGUGGUUUAAUUCGAUGCAACGCGAAGAACCUUACCUGGUCUUGACAUCCUGCGAACUUUCUAGAGAUAGAUUGGUGCCUUCGGGAACGCAGUGACAGGUGCUGCAUGGCUGUCGUCAGCUCGUGUUGUGAAAUGUUGGGUUAAGUCCCGUAACGAGCGCAACCCUUAUCCUUAUUUGCCAGCACUUCGGGUGGGAACUCUAAGGAGACUGCCGGUGACAAACCGGAGGAAGGUGGGGACGACGUCAAGUCAUCAUGGCCCUUACGACCAGGGGCUACACACGUGCUACAAUGGGCAAGUACAAAGGGGACGCUAAGCCGCGAGGUGGAGCUAAUCCCAGAAAA